AGGGUGUUAGCUGAGUUGGUUUAGCGGUAAAUUUACACUUUAUAUACAGAGGUUCGAAUCCUCUACUCCCUA